rnacentral:rRNA from 1 species
UACGGGGGGGGCAAGCGUUGUUCGGAAUUAUUGGGCGUAAAGAGCUCGUAGGCGGUUUGUCGCGUCUGCCGUGAAAGUCCGGGGCUCAACUCCGGAUCUGCGGUGGGUACGGGCAGACUAGAGUGAUGUAGGGGAGACUGGAAUUCCUGGUGUAGCGGUGAAAUGCGCAGAUAUCAGGAGGAACACCGGUGGCGAAGGCGACAUCCUGGACCGGUAUUGACGCUGAGGCGCGAAAGCCAGGGGAGCAAACGGG